rnacentral:misc_RNA from 1 species
GAUGAAGAACGCAGCGAAAUGCGAUAAGUAAUGUGAAUUGCAGAAUUCAGUGAAUCAUCGAAUCUUUGAACGCACAUUGCGCCCGCUAGUAUUCUGGCGGGCAUGCCUGUCCGAGCGUCAUUUCAACCCUCAAGCCCCCGGGCUUGGUGUUGGGGAUCGGCGAGCCUCCGCGCCCGCCGUCCCCUAAAUCUAGUGGCGGUCUCGCUGUAGCUUCCUCUGCGUAGUAGCACACCUCGCACCGGGAAACAGCGCGGCCACGCCGUUAAACCCCCAACUUCUGAACGUUUGACCUCGGAUCAGGUAGGAAUACCCGCUGAACUUAAGCAUAUCAAUAAGCGGAGGA